CCACGUAUGAGACAAGUGGGAUGCGAUCUGCUGGAUGGUACCGAUGGCACUUCGAGACCGUCUGCGUCGCUGAGCAAACCCAAAGUUUUGCACAUGACUUACAGUUCACCUGAUGAAUACCGUAACGAAUUGAAAUUAAGAACGUGAGAAAAUAGGUGCCUUAGAUUCACCAAAUCAGCACUAAACUCAAGCUAGGCGGAAAAAUUCUUUGAAUACUUAGGCUUUGUUUUGCGGUAAGACGACAGAACCACCGAAUUUCGGAGUUGGAAGACACGUCUCUCCGUGUUCUCCGGCCCGUUCUUGGACUUCAGGGCCGCCCCGCCCGCCCCGCUCACCGUCCUGUAGUUCCCGGAUUGAAGGCGCGGACCUUCGGGAGCGUGAUCACUGAAUUUACACAGGAUGGCAAAUUGAACUUUUCAUCAAGUGACAACUAAAGUAGAUAGCACUGUUUGCCUGGAGGUUUGUGUUGCAAGUUCUGAGGAUGUGUCUGAAACCAUCAGGACCUUGUGCCAUGAUCGAUUAUCAGUAUCUUCCACGGACAGGAGGUGGAAGAAUGGUGAUGCCAGGAAAUCUCCGCCUAUACCACCUUCUGUGAGAGUGCAUAUGAUAAAGUGCUUUGUAAACUGAAUAGCACUCUGUAAUUAGUUACAAUAGUCUUAUCAUCAUGCAAAUAUCUGUCCAAUGACCUUAACAACAAACAACAGAAAUGGGUAAGAAGUGUGUGAUUGGAAAGUAAACAAAGUAAUA